rnacentral:pre_miRNA from 12 species
AAGCUCCCUCAGGAAGCUGGUUUCAUAUGGUGGUUUAGAUUUAACUAUUUAUUGUCUAGCACCAUUUGAAAUCAGUGUUCUUGGAGGAAGAAUGCCUGC